rnacentral:lncRNA from 1 species
AGGCUUCGAGUUUCAACCCCCACAUCGGUUCCGACCUAGGUAUCCACUAUCGAUUCUCAACUCCAAUAGUACAUGCGAUGGAUCGUUGAGCCACACUCUUUUCGAUGCCGGCUUUAAUUGCCAUAUUUGGAAAGGUUGAUAGAAAACCCCAUACAAUCCCGUCAAUUCAUGCCACUACUGAGAGCAGCUAGCUAUCGACCAGAUAAGACAGCUACAACUAUUCAAGAUUGAGAAAUUAGGU